ACCAGCAUGGCACAGUGGUUGAGUGUUGGACUAUGACUCUGAAGACUUGAGUUCAGUACCCAGCUCAGUCCUGGAA